UACAAGACCUGAGCAGUACAAGGAGAAGCCAUUCUGUAACAGUUUGAUGUCUGCUCUUCUCUCUCUACCCCACCUGUGUUCUUAUCUCCUCCAACACCUCUGCAAGAAGCAGGGAAUUCGGCAGAUGAGGAUCUCAGAAUUUCAGCACACCAAAGACAUGCUCUGAACAUCAAGAAAACAUGUUCUCUGCAGAAAUUCCUGUGCAAACCAUCCCAUUAGCCAGUUUCUGGGUUGGUGUCUGGGCCAAGAAGAGAACUUUUGGAGGGGUGAUUGUAUCACAACUGAGGGAGCUGCUGAGGCUAAACAGGCUUCGGAGGACGUGAAAUGCGUGGGGAAGAGGUAACAGGGUGGAGCUGAUGUGGACACAACCAAAACCCAGCCAAAAAUGGAGAGUAAGAAACCAGGAUACCAAUGUGAUCACAGAGAAAUUCUUAGUACCAGUAGGGGCUGAUUAGAGUUUGCUGCCAGAUGCACUUAACUGGCUGCAGCCAAGUGUA